rnacentral:rRNA from 1 species
CCUACGGGCGGCAGCAGUGGGGAAUAUUGCACAAUGGGCGCAAGCCUGAUGCAGCCAUGCCGCGUGUGUGAAGAAGGCCUUCGGGUUGUAAAGCACUUUCAGCGGGGAGGAAGGCGGUGAGGUUAAUAACCUCAUCGAUUGACGUUACCCGCAGAAGAAGCACCGGCUAACUCCGUGCCAGCAGCCGCGGUAAUACGGAGGGUGCAAGCGUUAAUCGGAAUUACUGGGCGUAAAGCGCACGCAGGCGGUCUGUCAAGUCGGAUGUGAAACCCCCGGGCUCAACCUGGGAACUGCAUUCGAAACUGGCAGGCUAGAGUCUUGUAGAGGGGGGUAGAAUUCCAGGUGUAGCGGUGAAAUGCGUAGAGAUCUGGAGGAAUACCAGUGGCGAAGGCGACUCUCUGGUCUGUAACUGACGCUGAGGAGCGAAAGCGUGGGGAGCGAACAGGAUUAGAUACCCCAGUAGUC